GUGCCAGCAGGCCGCGGAUGUCGGCAUCUCGGUGGACAACGCGGUGGACGUGGCCAAGGAGGCAGCCGACUUCGUCCUGCUGCGUCAUGAGCUUGGCCUGGUCCGCCAGGGCAUCGAUGAAGGCCGACGGACGUUCGCCAAUACCCUCAAGUACAUCUUUCUCACCACCAGUGCCAACUUCGGCAACAUGAUCAGCAUGGCGGUGGCCUCGUUCUUCCUGCCGUUUCUGCCACUGCUGGCCAAGCAGAUCCUGCUUAACAACUUCCUCUCCGACAUCCCGGCCAUUGGCAUCGCCGGUGACCGCGUCGACCCCGACUGGUCGCGUACGCCGCAUCGCUGGGACAUCGGCGAGGUCUUACGCUUCAUGAUCAUCUUCGGCCUGAUCAGCUCUGCCUUCGACCUGCUCACCUUCGGCGUGCUGCUCUACCUGGUCGGCGAGCAGCCGGAGCUGUUUCGCAGCGGCUGGUUCGUCGAAUCGCUGAUCACCGAACUGGCGAUCAUUUUUGCGGUGCGCACGCACAAGCCGUUCUACCGCAGCCGCCCAGGCCGCUUCCUGCUG
rnacentral:rRNA from 1 species